GGGGCGGGCGGCGCUGAGCGGCUCGGGGUGCUCGGAGCCGGGAUGAGGGGACACGGAGCCUGGGGGUGGCCCUGGCCCUCCCUGGUGCAGCUCAGGGCCAUCACUCUCUUUCUAUCGCUGCUACCUGGAGCAGAGGUCGACCCCCCUCCCCACCAGCUCCUUUCAGGGCACUGUAGCGAGCAAUAAUGUCUCCUUUCAGCGUCCUCUUCUCCACACUGACCCAUUCCCGUUCCCGCAGCCGCUCCCCACUGUGCUCGCACCCUCACAGCUCCGUGCCCUUCUCUGGACACGCUCCAGGGCCUCGACGUCUUUCUCGCAGCGAGGGGCCCAGAGCUGAACGCAGCACUGAGCUCAUCAGCCAGCCCAGCCCGUCCAGGCCUCACCCUCGGCACAUGGACGCUUCUCCCCAGCCUGGUGUCACCUGCAAACCCAUCUACUGACCCACGCAGACCAGCACGCGCUGCGGCUCCACGCGUCCUCCUGAGGAAGAAACGUGCAUCGUUAAUGUGCUGCGAGAUAACCACGGCCUGUUGUUCCAGGGAGGAGAGCUGUGCCACAGCCACGCACCCUGCCACGCAGGGAAUCGUUCUCAUGGAGGAGAGGGAGAUGUCCUGGAUGGCGUCCCGUCCUGCUGUGGUGUCACGGCUCAGCUCGGUGUCCGCAAACUGCUGAGGUGCCCUCGAUCCCAUCCUCGGUGUCACUGAUAAAGGUAUUGAAGAGCACCGCUCCUAACACGGAGCCCUGGGGGACAGCACUCGUCACCGCCCAGCUGCACAUGGAGCCGCUGAGCACAGCGCUGUGGCUGCGGCCAUCCAGCCAAGCCUUCAUCCAGCCCGGAACCCAUCUCUCUCCAGCUCAGGGAUAAGGACGCGGUGCAGGGCCGUGCCGAGGCCUCGCACAAGUGCAGGCAGCCGACAGCAGCCCCCUCCGGGGCUCAGGCACGCGGUGCCCGCGGUGACGCCGUGCUGGCUGUCUCGGAUCACCUCCUCAUCUCACACCUCUUCCAGGAGGAUCCGCUCUGUGAGGUUCCCGUGCCCGGAGGUGAGCUCACCGGCCGGGAGUGCCGCGCUCCUCGUUCCUCCCCCGGUGAGGUGCACACACGCGUGUCCCGCCCGUGGGUCCCGCUCGGCUCGGGCUGCGCCCACGAGAGGGAGCUCCUGCUCCAGGCAGGGCUGCGUGGCGGGCACUGGGGGGCGCUGUGGGACCCCCACCCACUCCGUGGGACCCCCACCCACAUCGUGGGAUUCCCCAUCUGCACCGUGGGACCCUCACCCACACCACUGGAUCCCCGCAGUACUGGGGGACCCGCACACCGUCGGACCCCCACCCACGCCAUGGGACCCCCACAGCACAUUAGGAGCCCAUCCACGCCAUGGGACCCCCACAGUACUGUAGGACCCCUACCCACGCUGGGGACCCCUCCCACACCAUGCGAUCCCCAUCUGCACCGUGGGACACCCACCCUGUCCACAAGACCCCCGCAGUAUUGUGGGACCCUCACCACUCCGCAGGACCCUCAGCACACUGUGCCCCCCAGCCUGCUGCCACGUGUGAGGCUGCAGGGACAGGGCCAGGCAAAGCAGCUGUGGGGUGAGGGACGUGUGAGGCCCACAGGGGCUCAGGGCACAGCACUGGGGAACAGCCUCACAGUGCAGGGUGGCUCAGAGCCGCGGGGACUCGGCCGUGGUCAGGUCCCCUCUGAUGCCUUGUGUUCUUUCUGCUGGCUCGUGUCGCUGGUGGGCACAGCACCGCAUGGUUCUGGGUGCACAGAGCUGGUGCUUGUGCUUGGAGUGCUGUGGGGGACACAGCCCGGCCCACAUGGACUGCGUGCUGCGGGGAUCUGCCCCCCAAGGUGCCCCCAUGCGGGGGCGGGUGCCUCCACGAUGCUGCUCCGUGCCCCAGCCUGGCCUCGGUCCCCUAAAGUGCGGCUCAGUGGGGACAGAGGUGGCUCCCGCCCCCCAGCCCGUGCCUCAGUUUCCCUUGGUGCUGGGGGGAUGCUCGCAGCCUGCCUGCAGCAGCGGGGCUGAGCCUGAUCCAGGUGUCACCCACGUGUGCUCCAUCAUGCCCCAUCCCUAAGCACGAGCCUUCCUGCCACGUGCCCCCUGCAUGCACACACGGGUACGUGCCAGGUACCGUGAGUGUGCCGGCGUGCACAGCACCCCAAGGCAGCACAGCCCCCAGAG